CCAGCAGCUGCGGUAAUUCCAGCUCCAAUAGCGUAUAUUAAAGUUGUUGCGGUUAAAAAGCUCGUAGUUGGAUCUCGGCGGCCAGGGGGUGGUUCGCUCUACGGCGUUACUGCCCCAUUUGGCCGUGUGAUUGGCGGAGGUUUCGGGGUGCUCUUCGCUGAGUGACCCGGGGCGCCGUCAGGUUUACUUUGAAAAAAUUAGAGUGCUCAAAGCAGGCUUUCACGCUUGAAUAUUCGUGCAUGGAAUAAUGGAAUAGGAACUCGUUUCUAUUUUGUUGGUUUUCGGGAACCGACUUAAUGAUUAAAAGGGACUGCUCGGGGGCAUUUGUAUUCAGGCGCUAGAGGUGAAAUUCUUGGACCGCCUGAAGACACACUACUGCGAAAGCAUUUGCCAAGGAUGUUUUCAUUAAUCAAG
rnacentral:rRNA from 1 species